UUCGUGUUUUGAGUUUCCCUUCUGUUUCCACUUUCCAUCCCUCCUCAGUUCAGAACAACAAAACAAGAAGCUUUAAUUGCCAGUGUGAAGCGAUUGAGGCUGCUCAGAGGUCUCGUAGAUCGACGCGAUGGAAGCACAAUUUAAGGGGAGUAUCUGGGGAUUUAGGGUUCAAGAAGAAAAGGGUUAAAUGAGAAGGAGAUGAGACCGUGUUUGGAUUAAUUUUAAAAGCUUUUGCGCUUUUAGGGUUCAACAUUUGAUUCUCAAUGAGAGGUUAGUGAAGCCUCUGUGCUUUUGUUUUGGCAACAUGUGUUUGUACUCUUUUCACUUUCAUUUUACAUAUUCACCUACUCUAAACUGGUAUCGGUUGUACAAAGCGCGUUUUGGAUUUUGUAAGAGGCCUUUAAAUCUUGUGAAAGACGGCGAAAAAGAAAGCAUGAUGAUUCAACAUUGGGAACCAUAUAAAUUAAUCAGCAUAUCUGAACUGUUGGAUGAUGGCCAGAGCAGAGCUACUUAAGCAACAAUCUUGAUGAUGUUUUCAGAACUUUGUAGAACGCGGUUGAAGAUUCUUGGCUUCGUUCAAUUGGUUCUGAAGAAUGGAGUUAAAGUGAAGCUGCAAAGGAAUGCUUUGAGUGUUCUUGAACCACCAACUGGUCAUGAAGAAGAUGAUGAAUACGAAUUUGAUAUUUCAAGCAGUGGCUCGGAUGUUAACGACUUUUGUAAGCUUACACAAACUCAAAACCUUGUAAAUUCUUGCAAAUAUCAGUAAAAUAUUUAAAUAUUUAG